CCUACGGGCGGCUGCAGUGGGGAAUAUUGCACAAUGGGGGAAACCCUGAUGCAGCGACGCCGCGUGGGUGAAGAAGUAUCUCGGUACGUAAAGCUCUAUCAUGAGGGAAGAAAAUGACGGUACCUGACGAAGAAGCCCCGGCUAACUACGUGCCAGCAGCCGCGGUAAUACGGAGGGUGCAAGCGUUACCCGGAUUUACUGGGGGUAAAGGGAGCGUAGGCGGGAGCGUAAGUCUGGAGUGAAAUCCCGGGGCUUAACCCCGGAACUGCUUUGGAAACUGUGCGGCUGGAGUGCAGGAGGGGUAGGCGGAAUUCUUGGUGUAGCGGUGAAAUGCGUAGAUAUUAGGAGGAACACCGAUGGCGAAGGCGGCUUACUGGAACGUAACUGACGUUGAGGCACGAAAGCGUGGGGAGCAAACAGGAUUAGAUACCCGGGUAGUC
rnacentral:rRNA from 1 species